UAGCUGGUUCCCUCCGAAGUUUCCCUCAGGAUAGCUAGAGUCUUUAUCAGUUUUGUCAGGUAAAGCGAAUGAUUAGAGGUUCCGGGGAAGUAACUUCCUCGACCUAUUCUCAAACUUUAAAUGGGCAAGAUCCAGUAGUUACUUAAUUGAACUAUUGGGGUCAAUGAGACGACUCUAAGUGGGCCAUUUUUGGUAAGCAGAACUGGCGAUGAGGGAUGAACCUAACGCUCGGUUAAGGUGCUAAAC
rnacentral:rRNA from 13 species